rnacentral:lncRNA from 10 species
CGGCCUCGCUGUCUAGCAGGGCGCUGGCUGGUCCCUUCGUCCGGCGGGAACUUCGCGGCUAACCGACUCUCUGGAUGCCGGCCGCGCUGUGGUUUCCUCACAUAAGAAGCCAAGGAGUCGGAAAGCCCGUUGCCUGAGGCAGCAGUCUGGGAAUUUCGGUCCGGCGGGCCGUCCCCACCCACACGGACGGGGCGUGGCUUCUGCCAGAUGUGGGCGGGGCCCCGAGGGCCGUGGCGGGCGGGACCCGGGCCUCGGCCGGGCUGGCUUGGUCCCCGCAGGUGCCCCCCGCUAGCCACGAGCAGCCCCGGGAGGGUGGAUUCGGAGGCGCGGGGACUGGUGAGGGCCCACUGCAGGGCUGAGCGUCGCAGCGUGCUGUGGUUUUAGAUGAAUGCUCCUCCAAAUCCCUUCCAUGAAGCCCUCAAUCAGGUCGGUAACUGAUGACAGCCAGUGGCUGACGCGAAGUUCAUUGAAUAAAUGAAUGCAUUCGUGAACAACCGAGUAACAUUUCUUGCACACUCCCAACUUCAAAUAUCGCAGCGUCGUCCCACCAUGAGUAUUGGUGUUGGUCCUAAAGCACGGAUUCCCUUGGCUCCUCCCAUUCUCCCCUGCUGAGUUAGACAGCGGGGCCUCAUGCAGGAGGAGGAUUUGUACACAGCACAGCAGGAGGCUGAUGAGGGAGUCCGGAGACCCCAGCAGUCGUGGGCGUGAGCUGCUGGCUCAUCCGUGUGUACAACAUUCCAGACUGGAGUAAGGGAAGCCGCAGGCGCAGCCCCGCGAGUGCCCCUGCUGAGGCUGGCCCUGGGUGGCCCAGAUGCACCAGGGGGCCCACUGGGGGCAGACCUGGCAGGCCCUGUGGGGGUUGGAGGCGGGAGUGGGGGUACUUCCUACAGUGGUGUUUGGUCUUGAUGACAGCAGAGAGCACCACUGGCAUGAGGGACAGGUGACUCCGAUGAUGACGCUGCCAGGCCAGGAGCCAGGGGUGUGCCCAGCCCCUGGCUCCACCACAGCUGCACAUCCCGAACUCGGAGCUUCAGCAACUCCGAAGCCUGAAGCCGCCUCACGUGUUGUUGGAUGGAUGAAUGGAUAAACGAAAUGCCGUCCAUCCAUACAAUGGAAUCGUACUCAGCCUUAGAAAGGAAAUGCUGUCCGUCCAUACAAUGGAUUCGUACUCAGCCUUAGAAAGGAAGGGAAUCCUGACACACGUCACAACACGGAUGACCUUGAAGACGUUAUGCUGAGUGAGAUAAGCCAGCCACAAAAAGACAAAUACAGUACUGUGUGAUUCCAAUUAUUUGAGGUCCCUGGAGCAGUGAAAUGGUGGAGCGGAAUGGGGGUUGCCAAGGGCUGGGGGAGUGGGGAAUGAGGAGUUAGUUUUUCAUGGGGACAGAGCUUCAGUUGAGGAAGAUGAAAAAGUUUUGGAGACGGGUCACACAGCAAUGUGAAUUGUGCAUUAACAGUACUGAACUGCGCAUUUAAAGCAGGUUAAGUUUUAUGUUCUAUAUAUUUUACCA